AAUGUUUUAGUUCUUCCUUGUUAAGAUGAUGAAUAGUUGCUCUGCCCUAUUUCCUUCAUGUGCCUAGUUUACAACUUAGUAUUCUCCCAAGUUUUGAGUUUGUUGGUUAUCGUUCAUCCUAGAAGGUUGAAACUUGUUUGUUGCGAGUGCAUGAUCCAAGUCUAAGUUGUUGCAUGAUAUUAUAUGGUACAAUAGAGUUUGCUAUGGUCUUGUUCUAAGUGAAACUUGACAUCCGGAGUUUUAUGUCUAAAAUCAUAAAAAUAAUAAAGUUCCUCAAUGAUGAUGAUAUGUCCUACCAAAGCCAUAUGAUGUUACAUUGCACAACCCGUACUCAUAUGCUGCUUGCUAUCACAUUUAGCGUUGUCAAAUUGUUGUGACCCUUGAGAGGUUCUCGUCAUGCUGUCAUGAUCAAGAUCACGUACACUCCACAUAUAUUCAUGCUGACUUCUACACUGGUAAGUUACACAAAAACAUGCCUUUCAUCCACAUAAAUAUAAUCCAUCACAAUGACAUGACUCCCCUCUAUUCAUCAUGCGCAAGGAUAUGGGCUAUGCAAAAAUAAGAAAAAGAGAAAAGAAAUAAAUAUCCAUGCUCAAACAGCAUGAGAGAAAAAAAAGAGAAGAGAAAAAGAAAAGGAAGAAAAAGAGAAAAAAUGAGAGAAAGAUAGCCCAUAUCCCGAAUAGAAAUAAAAAGAGGGAGUCAUGCAAAAAGGAGUCCAAAUAAACUUCAUCAAAGUUUCCACACACAUGCACUUCUUGAUCAGAUUGUAUGACUUGCACCUCCUCAGAUCCGCUCUUUGACUUUGCAAAAUUAUGUGAUGCAAGUAUGCCUCAUUUUAUGUCCUACCCAAAACCGCACAAAGAGCCUUGUAGUAGUAGGAGGAAACACAGGCAAUCCAUGCCUUGGUGAGGACUAUACACAUUGAGCGAUUGAGACGAUCAUAUGAGGAACUUGUUUUUCAUUACAAAACUUAUCAAAAACCCUUCGAAAAGAUAGUUGAACAAGGAGUA
rnacentral:lncRNA from 1 species